GGGGCGUUAGCUCAGUCGGUAGAGCACGUGACUUUUAAUCACGGGGUCCCGGGUUCGAACCCCGGACGCCUCACCA
rnacentral:tRNA from 1 species